rnacentral:rRNA from 1 species
GUAUCAUGGCUCAGGACGAACGCUGGCGGCGUGCCUAACACAUGCAAGUCGAGCGGAGACAGUGAGUAGCUUGCUAUGAGCUGUUUUAGCGGCGGACGGGUGAGUAACGCGUGAGCAACCUUUCCCAGACAGGGGAAUAACACACCCGAAAGGUGUACUAAUACCGCAUAAGACCACGGGAUCACAUGGUUCUGGGGUAAAAGAAUUAUCGGUUUGGGGUGGGCUCGCGUCCGAUUAGGUAGUUGGUGAGGUAACGG